GAUGAACGCUGGCGGCGUGCCUAAUACAUGCAAGUCGAGCGAACAGACGAGGAGCUUGCUCCUCUGACGUUAGCGGCGGACGGGUGAGUAACACGUGGAUAACCUACCUAUAAGACUGGGAUAACUUCGGGAAACCGGAGCUAAUACCGGAUAAUAUAUUGAACCGCAUGGUUCAAUAGUGAAAGACGGUUUUGCUGUCACUUAUAGAUGGAUCCGCCCCGCAUUAGCUAGUUGGUAAGGUAACGGCUUACCAAGGCAACGAUGCGUAGCCGACCUGGGAGGGUGAUCGGCCACACUGGAACUGAGACACGGUCCAGACUCCUACGGGAGGCAGCAGUAGGGAAUCUUCCGCAAUGGGCGAAAGCCUGACGGAGCAACGCCGCGUGAGUGAUGAAGGUCUUCGGAUCGUAAAACUCUGUUAUUAGGGAAGAACAAAUGUGUAAGUAACUAUGCACGUCUUGACGGUACCUAAUCAGAAAGCCACGGCUAACUACGUG
rnacentral:rRNA from 1 species